GUAACUGCAAGGUGAAACUGAAAGAAGGUAGAGGCAAAGACACGACCGUACGAACAGAAACAGGUAAAGAGACAGAGUGUGGGCGAUAAGCGUGCUAGGGAACGCGAAAUCCAACUGUUACCGAAAGACACAUCAAGUAGAGCCGGACGGCAUGAGUCGAAAGAACCAACA
rfam:Achromatium sp. WMS2 contig-183_98, whole genome shotgun sequence.